rnacentral:rRNA from 1 species
UAAUACAGAGGUGGCAAGCGUUGUUCGGAAUUACUGGGCGUAAAGGGCGCGUAGGCGGUUCGUUAAGUCCUGUGUGAAAUCCCCCGGCUCAACUGGGGAACUGCACAGGAAACUAGCGGGCUUGAGUUCGGGAGAGGGAAGCGGAAUUCCGGGUGUAGCGGUGAAAUGCGUAGAUAUCCGGAGGAACACCGGUGGCGAAGGCGGCUUCCUGGACCGACACUGACGCUGAGGCGCGAAAGCUAGGGGAGCAAACGGGAUUAGAUACCCCGGUAGUCCUAGCCGUAAACGAUGGACACUAGGUGUUGGUGGUAUCAACCCCGCCAGUGCCGAAGCUAACGCAUUAAGUGUCCCGCCUGGGGAGUACGGCCGCAAGGCUA